rnacentral:lncRNA from 1 species
GGAAUUUGACCUGAAAGCUUAAAUUUUGGUGAUCUUUUCUAAUAUGAACUCUAUUAGUAGAAGUGUGGAAUUUUCUUGUAGUCGUGAUGGCUAGUGAGUAGAAUGAGGUGGGAGGAGUGACAGGAGAGAGCAUCGGGGAGUGACACAGAAGCCCUGGGUAGGUGAAGGGUGUCUCCUGCCUGCUCUGGAAAGUCACAAUACACCUGGGCAGACAAAGCGGGUGACAUAACAUAGCACCCCACUGAGCUCACAGGUAGGAGGAACAGAGAAUAGGCAUUUCUGCGUGUGUUCCCAUGGGGAACCCAUUUUGACAUCAACUGAAGAAAUAAUGUUAUUGAAACGGCAUGGCGACGAGAAGUCAACAGUCCAAAGCUGUGUGCAGUAGCCAUAUAGUAACUUCACAAGACACCAAAUAUGGAUCCCACCACGUACUACCAGCUGUGGUCAGGUCACUUCACCUCACUCACCCAAGUUUUGGUUUCCUCAGUUGAGAACUAGGGAUCAUUAUAGUCCCUACCUCACAGGGAAACUGGAAUAGGGCUUCCGUGAGAAUGAAACAGGAUAAUUCACACUGAUGUGCCGAGAGGUGAAGGGUGCUCAAUGACUAUUUAUGAUUAUCAUUCACAGAGAUAAACCUAAAAGAGCUUCUGGAGAAUAGGAGUGGAGCUCCGGGCCCUUCAAAACAGUCCUGAGCAGAGUCUGAGUAAUCUAGUACAUCUGAAUCACAGAAAGAGGCAAGUUUCAAUUGGGAAUCAGAAAACAAAUGAUGCAAACAUCUCCAAGCCCAGGAAGGGAGGGAGGCCUGGGCAGAACCAGGAUCUGACUAGAGGGGCUGGCUGCCUCCCUCUGUUCGCUUUCCCUUUGACCCGCCGUGACGUGCCCUCGUGGGCCCACCCUUCGCUUCGAAAAUUGCUUUUGUGGUUGACGGGCAGGCAGGACCGCGAGGCGGAGCCCGACAUGAUGGAGGGUGCAUCCGCGAGCGGGGCUACAGUCUCUGGCACAAGAGAGGCACAUUCUGGUCACGGGUUUGUUUUCCAGGCUGAUCAAAAUCCUUCCGCAAGGCCCCAGUACCAGUUACUGUACAUGCCGAAUGUGGGAUGUAUAUGUUUUUCCCCUUCCAAGUUCUUUUGUUGCAUUUUAUUGUUUUCCUACCUAGAUAUUAGGCUGUCUCCAUGAUGCGAGACAUCCUUCCUUUCUAGAAUUUCCAGGAAGCACAGUUGCCUCCCACGUGUUAGAUUUAAUGUAAUUCAAACCAAAGUUUGAGGCUAUUUCUCCUAAUUCAGGAAAAGUUGUGAGCUUGGCAAGCCAAAUGGAAAGACAAAAAAAAAAAAGAUAGUGGAUUUUUGGGGUGUUUUUCUCAUUUUGGUUGUGUGUGUACGUUUCAUAAAGUGCAUAGGCGAAUUAAGCUCAAAAAGCAACUGCUUGGAGAGAUAGAAACUCUUGUAAUUCAUGUUGUGCAUAAUGGAUUUGGCAGGCCCAAGCACAGAAAUUUCCAGAAGUGUUUGCGUGGCAGCAGUUCUUAGCCAAUUCACAUUUUUUAGCUGUCCUGGCUAGCUGCCCAGCCUACAGAAAAAGUCUUGUAUCUCCACAAGUUUGGCUGGCCUCUCUGACGAGUUUCCAAACUGCAUGGCAACAUUGGAUGAGCUUAUUUUCAAGUGCCAAAAAAACUGCUGCUACUUAUACUGUUACUAAAUACCAGAUGUACUUAAUAAAGAGCAAGCAGAGCCAAACCUAGGGUAAUCA